rnacentral:rRNA from 1 species
UACGUAGGCAGCGAGCGUUGUUCGGAGUUACUGGGAGUAAAGGGUGUGUAGGCGGUUGUUUAAGUUUGGUGUGAAAUCUCCCGGCUCAACUGGGAGGGUGCGCCGAAUACUGAAUGACUUGGAGUGCGGGAGAGGAAAGUGGAAUUCCUGGUGUAGCGGUGAAAUGCGUAGAUAUCAGGAGGAACACCGGUGGUGUAGACGGCUUUCUGGACCGUAACUGACGCUGAGACACGAAAGCGUGGGUAGCAAACAGG